CUAUCWASYGUGCMCAGGCAGCCGCSGUAAUACGUAGGKGCAAGCGUGUCGGAGUAUGGCGUAAGGGCUCGCAGGCGGUUUCUAAGUCUGAUGUGAAAGCCCCCGGCUCAACCCGGGGAGGGUCAUUGGAAACUGGGAAACUUGAGUGCAGAAGAGGAGAGUGGAAUUCCACGUGUAGCGGUGAAAUGCGUAGAGAUGUGGAGGAACACCAGUGGCGAAGGCGACUCCGGUUGUAACUGACGCUGAGGAGCGAAAGCGUGGGGAGCGAACAGGAUUAGAUACCCUGGUAGUCCACGCCGUAAACGAUGAGUGCUAAGUGUUGGGUUUCCGCCCCUUAGUGCUGCAGCUAACGCAUUAAGCACUCCGCCUGGGGAGUACGGUCGCAAGACUGAAACUCAAAGGAAUUGACGGGGGCCGCACAAGCGGUGGAGCAUGUGGUUUAAUUCGAAGCAACGCGAAGAACCUUACCAGGUCUUGACAUCCUCUGACAACCCUAGAGAUAGGGCUUUCCCUUCGGGGACAGAGUGACAGGUGGUGCAUGGUUGUCGUCAGCUCGUGUCGUGAGAUGUUGGGUUAAGUCCCGCAACGAGCGCAACCCUUGUCUUAGUUGCCAGCAUUCAGUUGGGCACUCUAAGGUGACUGCCGGUGACAAACCGGAGGAAGGUGGGGAUGACGUCAAAUCAUCAUGCCCCUUAUGACCUGGGCUACACACGUGCUACAAUGGACAGAACAAAGGGCUGCGAGACCGCAAGGUUUAGCCAAUCCCACAAAUCUGUUCUCAGUUCGGAUCGCAGUCUGCAACUCGACUGCGUGAAGCUGGAAUCGCUAGUAAUCGCGGAUCAGCAUGCCGCGGKGAAUACGUUCCCGGGCCUUGUACACACCGCCCGUCACACCASGAGAGUUUGCAACACCCGAAGUCGGUGAGGUAACCUUUAKGAGCCAKCCGCCGAAAAGG
rnacentral:rRNA from 1 species